GGGUAGGCGUAGGCGGCUGAUUAAGUCAGCGGUGAAAGGUAGCAGCUUAACUGUUUUACAUGCCGUUGAUACUGGUUAGCUUGAGUUGACAGAAGGCAGAUAGAAUUCCUGGUGUAGCGGUGAAAUGCUUAGAUACCAGGAGGAAUACCGAUUGCGAAGGCAGUCUGCUGCAGUCACACUGACGCUGAGGCUCGAAGGUGCGGGGAUCAAACAGGAUUAGAUACCCCAGU
rnacentral:rRNA from 1 species